rnacentral:rRNA from 1 species
UUUAUGGAGAGUUUGAUCCUGGCUCAGGAUGAACGCUGGCGGCGUGCCUAAUACAUGCAAGUCGAGCGAACAGAUAAGGAGCUUGCUCCUUUGACGUUAGCGGCGGACGGGUGAGUAACACGUGGGUAACCUACCUAUAAGACUGGAAUAACUCCGGGAAACCGGGGCUAAUGCCGGAUAACAUGUUGAACCGCAUGGUUCUACAGUGAAAGACGGUCUUGCUGUCACUUAUAGAUGGACCCGCGCCGUAUUAGCUAGUUGGUGGGGUAACGGCCUACCAAGGCGACGAUACGUAGCCGACCUGAGAGGGUGAUCGGCCACACUGGAACUGAGACACGGUCCAGACUCCUACGGGAGGCAGCAGUAGGGAAUCUUCCGCAAUGGGCGAAAGCCUGACGGAGCAACGCCGCGUGAGUGAUGAAGGUCUUCGGAUCGUAAAGCUCUGUUGUUAGGGAAGAACAAAUGUGUAAGUAACUGUGCACAUCUUGACGGUACCUAACCAGAAAGCCACGGCUAACUACGUGCCAGCAGCCGCGGUAAUACGUAGGUGGCAAGCGUUAUCCGGAAUUAUUGGGCGUAAAGCGCGCGUAGGCGGUUUUUUAAGUCUGAUGUGAAAGCCCACGGCUCAACCGUGGAGGGUCAUUGGAAACUGGAAAACUUGAGUGCAGAAGAGGAAAGUGGAAUUCCAUGUGUAGCGGUGAAAUGCGCAGAGAUAUGGAGGAACACCAGUGGCGAAGGCGGCUUUCUGGUCUGCAACUGACGCUGAUGUGCGAAAGCGUGGGGAUCAAACAGGAUUAGAUACCCUGGUAGUCCACGCCGUAAACGAUGAGUGCUAAGUGUUAGGGGGUUUCCGCCCCUUAGUGCUGCAGCUAACGCAUUAAGCACUCCGCCUGGGGAGUACGGUCGCAAGACUGAAACUCAAAGGAAUUGACGGGGACCCGCACAAGCGGUGGAGCAUGUGGUUUAAUUCGAAGCAACGCGAAGAACCUUACCAAAUCUUGACAUCCUUUGACCGCUCUAGAGAUAGAGUUUUCCUCUUCGGAGGACAAAGUGACAGGUGGUGCAUGGUUGUCGUCAGCUCGUGUCGUGAGAUGUUGGGUUAAGUCCCGCAACGAGCGCAACCCUUGAACUUAGUUGCCAUCAUUCAGUUGGGCACUCUAAGUUGACUGCCGGUGACAAACCGGAGGAAGGUGGGGAUGACGUCAAAUCAUCAUGCCCCUUAUGAUUUGG